rnacentral:rRNA from 1 species
UACGUAGGUGGCAAGCGUUAUCCGGAAUGAUUGGGCGUAAAGGGUGCGCAGGCGGAACCAUAAGUCUGAAGUAAAAGCCAUCGGCUCAACCGAUGUAAGCUUUGGAAACUGUGGAUCUGGAGUGCAGGAGAGGACAGUGGAAUUCCAUGUGUAGCGGUAAAAUGCAUAGAUAUAUGGAGGAACACCAGUGGCGAAGGCGGCUGUCUGGCCUGUAACUGACGCUGAGGCACGAAAGCGUGGGGAGCAAAUAGG